UAAGGAAUAUUGGUCAAUGGGCGCAAGCCUGAACCAGCCAUGCCGCGUGCAGGAAGACGGCCCUAUGGGUUGUAAACUGCUUUUGUCAGGGAAUAAACCCCCGCUCGUGAGCGGGGCUGAAGGUACCUGAAGAAUAAGCAUCGGCUAACUCCGUGCCAGCAGCCGCGGUAAUACGGAGGAUGCAAGCGUUAUCCGGAUUCAUUGGGUUUAAAGGGCGCGCAGGCGGAUUGGUAAGUCAGGGGUGAAAUCCCACAGCUCAACUGUGGAACUGCCUUUGAUACUGUCAGUCUAGAGUAUAGUUGAAGUGGGCGGAAUGUGUCAUGUAGCGGUGAAAUGCUGGGAUAUGACACAGAACACCGGUCGCGAAGGCAGCUCGCUAAGCUAUAACUGACGCUCAGGCACGAAAGCGUGGGGAUCAAACAG
rnacentral:rRNA from 1 species